rnacentral:lncRNA from 1 species
ACAAUUAUUACUCUAUUUUUUAAUUUUAUUAAAAUUCUUAUACUACUUUAACCUUCUUAAAUCAAAACACAAACCCUAACCCUAAUUUUAUGCUAACACACACUUUCUCACCACACAUUAGCUGCCAUCCUCUCACCCUAACAUACCCGUCCAAUAGUACAGAGAAGAGAGUGAGAGAGCACAAGAGAGCAGAGAAGCAGGAGAGGGUGAUGGCGCUGGAGAGGGAGGAAGAUAUGCCACUGCCACCAUUGCCAUUGACACCGUUGCAAAGAGGGAGGAAGAUAUGCGCGAGAAGAGCAAGAGAGUGCGCGUCAUGCUUGUUGCCAUGUCUUCACUACUAGAAAUUAGUAUUUUUCGAUGUCUUUAUCACUACUAGAAAUUAGUAUUUUUCAGACGAAUUUUG